rnacentral:rRNA from 1 species
CCUACGGGAGACAGCAGUGGGGAAUAUUGGACAAUGGGGGGAACCCUGAUCCAGCGACGCCGCGUGAGUGAAGAAGUAUUUCGGUAUGUAAAGCUCUAUCAGCAGGGAAGAAAAUGACGGUACCUGACUAAGAAGCCCCGGCUAACUACGUGCCAGCAGCCGCGGUAAUACGUAGGGGGCAAGCGUUAUCCGGAUUUACUGGGUGUAAAGGGAGCGUAGACGGUGCAGCAAGUCUGAUGUGAAAGGUCGGGGCCCAACCCCGGGACUGCAUUGGAAACUGGUGAACUGGAGUGCAGGAGAGGUUAGCGGAAUUCCUAGUGUAGCGGUGAAAUGCGUAGAUAUUAGGAGGAACACCAGUGGCGAAGGCGGCUGACUGGACUGUAACUGACGUUGAGGCUCGAAAGCGUGGGGAGCAAACAGGAUUAGAUACCCUAGUAGUC